AGAAUCAGAAUUAGGGCUGCACUGAUGACGCACCAUUAUGCAUGCAUGUCGAACAGAAAAUGCAGAAGCAAUGAGCAGAGAGAGGCGGAAGCUGAGAGACAAAGACCGACCAGGAAAGAGACAGCGGAAGGAAGGAAAACAGAUGAACGCUAGGAGACAGAAAAAGGAAGGCAGACAGGAGGAGAGAAGUGCUGGAGGAGAGAAGUCAUGAGACGAGAAGCGAUGCUCUCGGUUUCAUUACAGGCCCAUUUCCAAUGUGCGCACUCUCAUUUGAGCAGAGGAAAUUGGAAAGAAAAGGAGAAAGGAGAAGUGCCUGCAGAGGUGAGAAGGGCUGAAAAGACGAGGGCUGAAAGGAGUGGACGGAGAAGACGGGGAUAGCGGCGACGAUUGGCCGAGCCCAGAUGAGCCCCGUCCGCCACUCGGAGCCCUCUACCUCGUGUCAACCAAUCAGCUCAUGUCAGCCGGGCGUGUCAACAUCACCGCAAACCAUGACAGAAUGAUCCAAACACAAACAAAUAUGGACCCCGCAGAAACAGAAACGUUAUGUCGUGAUGAGCGCAGCAUCAGUGUCAACAAAAAAGAAGUUGCAAUGCAUUGUUCGGGAGAAAACGUCAUCAGCACUCACACUUGGACUGUGCUGGGGGUUCAAGGACAAGACAAACUAAAUCAUGAGA